CGCGAUACAGGGUGACAGCCCCGUACACAAAAAUGCACAUGCUGUGAGCUCGAUGAGUAGGGCGGGACACGUGGUAUCCUGUCUGAAUAUGGGGGGACCAUCCUCCAAGGCUAAAUACUCCUGACUGACCGAUAGUGAACCAGUACCGUGAGGGAAAGGCGAAAAGAACCCCGGCGAGGGGAGUGAAAAAGAACCUGAAACCGUGUACGUACAAGCAGUGGGAGCACGCUUAGGCGUGUGACUGCGUACCUUUUGUAUAAUGGGUCAGCGACUUAUAUUCUGUAGCAAGGUUAACCGAAUAGGGGAGCCGAAGGGAAACCGAGUCUUAACUGGGCGUUAAGUUGCAGGGUAUAGACCCGAAACCCGGUGAUCUAGCCAUGGGCAGGUUGAAGGUUGGGUAACACUAACUGGAGGACCGAACCGACUAAUGUUGAAAAAUUAGCGGAUGACUUGUGGCUGGGGGUGAAAGGCCAAUCAAACCGGGAGAUAGCUGGUUCUCCCCGAAAGCUAUUUAGGUAGCGCCUCGUGAAUUCAUCUCCGGGGGUAGAGCACUGUUUCGGCAAGGGGGUCAUCCCGACUUACCAACCCGAUGCAAACUGCGAAUACCGGAGAAUGUUAUCACGGGAGACACACGGCGGGUGCUAACGUCCGUCGUGAAGAGGGAAACAACCCAGACCGCCAGCUAAGGUCCCAAAGUCAUGGUUAAGUGGGAAACGAUGUGGGAAGGCCCAGACAGCCAGGAUGUUGGCUUAGAAGCAGCCAUCAUUUAAAGAAAGCGUAAUAGCUCACUGGUCGAGUCGGCCUGCGCGGAAGAUGUAACGGGGCUAAACCAUGCACCGAAGCUGCGGCAGCGACGCUUAUGCGUUGUUGGGUAGGGGAGCGUUCUGUAAGCCUGCGAAGGUGUGCUGUGAGGCAUGCUGGAGGUAUCAGAAGUGCGAAUGCUGACAUAAGUAACGAUAAAGCGGGUGAAAAGCCCGCUCGCCGGAAGACCAAGGGUUCCUGUCCAACGUUA
rnacentral:rRNA from 1 species